rfam:Gorilla gorilla gorilla genomic chromosome, chr17, whole genome shotgun sequence
GUGCUCACUUCGGCAGCACGCACACUAAAAUUGUAACAAUACAGAGAUGACUAGCAUGGCCCCUGCAAGGACGACGUGCAAAUUCGUGAAGCAUACCAUAUUAAA